UAUCCGAGGCCUGUAAUUGGAAUGAGUACACUUUAAAUCCUUUAACAAGGACCAAUUGGAGGCAAGUCUGGUCCAGCAGCCGCGGUAAUUCCAGCUCCAAUAGCGUAUAUUAAAGUUGUUGCGGUUAAACGUUCGUAGUGUGAACUUGUGCUUUCUACGGGUAGUACAACUUAACAAUUGUGGUUAGUACUAUACUUUAUGUAUGUAAGCGUAUUACCGGUGAGUUCUUAUAUGUGAUUAAAUACUUGUAUCUUUUCAUAUGUUCCUCCUAUUUAAAACUGGCAUUAGUGCUCUAACGAGUGUUAUUGUGGGCCGGUACUAUUACUUUGAAACAAAUUAGAGUGCUUAAAGCAGGCUUCAAAUGCUGAAUAUUCUGUGCAUGGAUAAUGAAAUAAGACCUCUGUUCUGCUUUCAUUGGUUUUCAGAUCAAAGAGGUAAUGAUUAAUAGAAGCAGUUGGGGGCAUUAGUAUUACGACGCGAGAGGUGAAAUUCUUGGACCGUCGUAAGACUAACUUAAGCGAAAGCAUUUGCCAAAGAUGUUUUCAUUAAUCAAGAACGAAAGUUAGAGGUUCGAAGGCGAUCAGAUACGCCCUAGUUCUAACCAUAAACGAUGCCAGCUAGCAUUGGGUGUAGCUACUUUUAUGGCUCUCUCAGUCGCUUCCCGGGAAACCAAAGCUUUUGGGCUCCGGGGGAAGUAUGGUUGCAAAGCUGAAACUUAAAGGAAUUGACGGAAGGGCACCACCAGGAGUGGAGCCUGCGGCUUAAUUUGACUCAACACGGGAAAACUUACCAGGUCCGAACAUAAGUGUGUAAGACAGAUUGAUAGCUCUUUCUCGAAUCUAUGGGUGGUGUGCAUGGCCGUUCUUAGUUCGUGGAGUGAUUUGUCUGGUUAAUUCCGAUAACGAACGAGACUCAAAUAUAUUAAAUAGAUAUCUUCAGGAUUAUGGUGCUGAAGCUUAUGUAGCCUUCAUUCAUGUUGGCAGUAAAAUGCUUAUUGUGUUUGAAUGUGUUUUGUAAGUGGAGCCGUACCUGUUGGUUUGUCCCAUUAUAAGGACACUAGCUUCUUAAAUGGACAAAUUGCGUCUAGCAAUAAUGAGAUUGAGCAAUAACAGGUCUGUGAUGCCCUUAGAUGUCCUGGGCUGCACGCGCGCUACAAUGAAAGUAUCAACGUGUAUUUCCUAGACCGAGAGGUCCGGGUAAACCGCUGAACCACUUUCAUGCUUGGGAUUGUGAACUGAAACUGUUCACAUGAACUUGGAAUUCCCAGUAAGUGUGAGUCAUUAACUCGCAUUGAUUACGUCCCUGCCCUUUGUACACACCGCCCGUCGCUACUACCGAUUGAAUUAUUUAGUGAGGUCUCCGGACGUGAUCACUGUGACGCCUUGCGUGUUACGGUUGUUUCGCAAAAGUUGACCGAACUUGAUUAUUUAGAGGAAGUAAAAGUCGUAACAAGGUUUCCGUAGUGAACCUGCGGAAG
rnacentral:rRNA from 1 species